rnacentral:rRNA from 1 species
GAUGAACGCUGGCGGCGUGCCUAAUACAUGCAAGUCGAGCGAACGGACGAGAAGCUUGCUUCUCUGAUGUUAGCGGCGGACGGGUGAGUAACACGUGGAUAACCUACCUAUAAGACUGGGAUAACUUCGGGAAACCGGAGCUAAUACCGGAUGAUAUUUUGAACCGCAUGGUUCAAAAGUGAAAGACGGUCUUGCUGUCACUUAUAGAUGGAUCCGCGCUGCAUUAGCUAGUUGGUAAGGUAACGGCUUACCAAGGCAACGUUGCAUAGCCGACCUGAGAGGGGAAUCGGCAAAAUGGGAACGGAGACAGGGUCAGGAUCCCAAGGGGAGGCACCGGUGGGGAUUCUUCCGCAAGGGGCGAAAGCCUGACGGAGCAACGCGGCGGGAGUGAUGAGGGUCUUCGGAUCGUAAAACUCUGUUAUUAGGGAAAAACAUAUGUGUAAGUAACUGUGCACAUCUGAACGGUACCGAAGCAGAAAGCCACGGCUAACUACGG